CCUGGCGGCCGUAGCGCGGUGGUCCCACCUGACCCCAUGCCGAACUCAGAAGUGAAACGCCGUAGCGCCGAUGGUAGUAUGGGGUCUCCCCAUGCGAGAGUAGGGAACUGCCAGGC
rnacentral:rRNA from 4 species